CAGAAAAAAAGGGACAUGACCAGGAUAAUUCUGAAUUGUGGUGAGGAAGGCUCACGAAGGAAUCGGAAAGAUAGGAGGAUGGUCCGGAGGCAUGCUUCCGAACCAUGUCUCCGCAUUCCCUUGCGGUACAUAAUCACUUCAGUUUCCGCUCGACGUUAUCUUAGUGAUAUCCAUUGCACGCAGUGCCUGCCCAUCGGCUCUCGCUCGUGCUCUCCAGUGCGCUCUCCAAGUUUAGGGAGUCCGUAGCAAUGGCGUCUGCAGUGGCAUCGACGGUUGUGGCCCCAGUUGCCUUGGGUGGAGCCUCGUCCUGUGUGGGUGCCCCCUCUGAAUCCUCCUCUGUGAAGGCCUUCUCUGGUCUGAAGUCGGCGACCUUGUUCUCUGGCAAGACCCAGAAGUUGAGCUCCGUCCAGAAUGGCAGCCGCGUGCAAUGCAUGCAGGUGUGGAACCCGAUCGGGCAGCCCAAGUUCGAGACCUUCUCGUACUUGCCCCCUUUGACCGAUGACCAGAUCGCCAAGCAGGUGGACUACAUGAUCCAGCAGAACCUGAUUCCCUGCAUCGAAUUCGACACUGUUGGAUCCGUGAGCCGCACCAACUUCUCCGGCGCGGGUUCCUCGGGUUACUACGAUGGGCGCUACUGGACCAUGUGGAAGCUGCCCAUGUUCGGGUGCACCGACUCUUCGCAGGUGCUGAGGGAGAUCCAGGAGUGCAAGUCGCAGUUCCCCAGCUGCUGGGUCCGCGUCUUGGGCUUCGACAGCAAGAAGCAGGUCCAGAUCUGCGGGUUCUUGGUCUCCAGGCCCAACUAGAUUAAUUGGCCGGUGGCCUAGGUAGCACUUGGUUCUUUUCAGUAGCGACAAGGUAGUCGUGUUUAUGUCUAACUAGUCGCAAUGUUGAGGAGGCUUGUACAGCGACUUGUUUAAUCCAAAGAAUCCCAGGGGCAACAUCUUGACAUCA